rnacentral:lncRNA from 1 species
CCCCUCAGCAGUAUUUGGAUAGAUUGUGUUAAAGGUAGUCAUGUGCUAUUGGGCAGGCGCAAGUUUGACGGUUUGAUGAUUUACUUCUGGUGGAAUCUGUGAAAGGAAAGAAAUAGAAGAACAUUUCAACACAAAAACUUUCAGCCAAGGAAAGUGGUCUUUCUCUGUAAAGAAGACUCAGGGGACGUUGUUUCCUCUUAAUUAGUCAGUAACUCUUAGUGUUUUGUUCUUUAGGUUUUUUUCUCUCUCUUUUGGCAUCGUAGGGCCUUUAGGGUGCCAGGGUGGUCGUUAGUAGUGGAGUAGAGUUUUCUUUUCUUCUUGGCCCAUCUGGUGUUUUCACCUAUUUUUUUGUAUUUCUCUCGUCUAAUAAAAUUCUGGCAAAAGUUUUUUGCCGCCUUUCGAAAAAAAGUCAUGUGCUAUUGGUUAUGGUUUAUAGAUAUAACUACUAGGAUUAUUUUUCAGUUUAUUAUGCUUUCGGAUUGCAGCAGCGUGCUCCCUUGUAUGUUC